rnacentral:rRNA from 1 species
CCUAACACAUGCAAGUCGAACGGUAACAGGAAACAGCUUGCUGUUUCGCUGACGAGUGGCGGACGGGUGAGUAAUGUCUGGGAAACUGCCUGAUGGAGGGGGAUAACUACUGGAAACGGUAGCUAAUACCGCAUAACGUCGCAAGACCAAAGAGGGGGACCUUCGGGCCUCUUGCCAUCGGAUGUGCCCAGAUGGGAUUAGCUUGUUGGUGGGGUAACGGCUCACCAAGGCGACGAUCCCUAGCUGGUCUGAGAGGAUGACCAGCCACACUGGAACUGAGACACGGUCCAGACUCCUACGGGAGGCAGCAGUGGGGAAUAUUGCAUAAUGGGCGCAAGCCUGAUGCAGCCAUGCCGCGUGUAUGAAGAAGGCCUUCGGGUUGUAAAGA